rnacentral:rRNA from 1 species
AAACGCGAUAAGUUCACCGCCUGGGGAGUACGGUCGCAAGGCUAAAACCCAAAGGAAUUGACGGGGGCCCGCACAAGCAGCGGAGCGUGUGGUUUAAUUCGAUGCAACGCGAAGAACCUUACCAGGGCUUGACAUGUACGUAGUAGUGAAGGGAAACCGGAACGAGCCUUCGGGCAGCGUAGACAGGUGCUGCAUGGCUGUCGUCAGCUCGUGUCGUGAGAUGUUGGGUUAAGUCCCGCAACGAGCGCAGCCCGUGUUGCUAGUUACAAGUGUCUAGCGAGACUGCCGGAACAAGCCGGAGGAAGGUGCGGAUGAUGUCAAGUCAGCAUGGCCUAUAUGUCCAGGGCUACACACACGCUACAAUGGCUGGUACAAAGAGAAGCGAAAGGGAGACCUGAAGCGAAUCUCAUCAAAGCCAGUCAUAGUUCGGAUUGCAGGCUGCAACUCGCCUGCAUGAAGUCGGAGUUGCUAGUAACCGCAGGUCAGCAAUACUGCGGUGAAUACGUUCCCGGGCCUUGUACACAC